GACAGAGGUGCCGAGCGUUAGGCGGAAUCACUGGGCUUAAAGCGUGUGUAGGCGGGCCGUUAAGUGUCUUGUGAAAAUCCCCCCGGCUCAACCGGGGAAUUGCUGGGCAUACUGGCGGUCUUGAGCGAUCUAGGGGCAGAUGGAACAAGUGGUGGAGCGGUGAAAUGCGUAGAUAUCACUUGGAACGCCAAAGGUGAAGACAGUCUGCUGGGGAUCUGCUGACGCUGGAGACACGAAAGCCAGGGGAGCGAACGGG
rnacentral:rRNA from 1 species